rnacentral:tRNA from 1 species
GCUUGAAUAGCUCAGUCAGUAGAGCCUGAGAGUCUCAAUCUCAGGGUUGUGGGUUUGAACCCCACAUUGGGCA